UUAUCAAAGCGCGCCAGUUCUAUGAGGUGGAGAAGGGUCGCUGUGGCGGGCGCCUGAGCCGCUGGCGGUUUAACUUCGUUUGGCUGCGGUUAGUGAUCUCUGCAGUGACUACAGGUGAGGAAAGGCGCCCGGUGCCUUUGGCGGGAGUGAGAGAAGAGCUCUGAAUAGCCUGACUUAAGGCCCCGACUUUAGCAGCAUCCCUGUUUCUUGGUGUGUGACAAUAACCCAGCAAUUUAAAGCGCUACUAAGAAGAGUGUGCUGGGGAUGCUCUAGGGAGAGACUGGAUGCUGAGACAAGUUCCAGUCCAAGGGGUUUUGGUUUGCCAAGAAGAAACCGAGUAUCAUGGAUCAGAACAACAGCUUGCCACCUUAUGCCCAGGGCUUGGCCUCCCCUCAGGGCGCCAUGACUCCUGGAAUUCCCAUCUUCAGUCCAAUGAUGCCUUAUGGCACCGGGCUGACCCCACAGCCUGUGCAGAACACCAGUAGUCUGUCCAUUUUGGAAGAACAGCAGAGGCAGCAGCAGCAACAGCAGCAGCAGCAGCAGCAACAGCAGCAGCAGCAGCAGCAACAGCAGCAGCAGGCCCAGCAGUCCUCAACCCAGCAGGCGGCGCAGGUGCCCACAGGCCAGGCCCCCCAGCUGUUCCACUCACAGACUCUCACCACAGCACCCCUGCCGGGCACCACACCCCUGUAUCCGUCCCCACUGACACCUAUGACCCCCAUCACCCCUGCCACACCGGCCUCUGAGAGCUCCGGGAUUGUGCCACAGUUGCAAAAUAUUGUUUCCACAGUGAAUCUUGGUUGUAAACUUGAUCUAAAGACCAUUGCACUUCGCGCCCGAAAUGCUGAAUAUAAUCCCAAGCGGUUUGCUGCUGUGAUCAUGAGAAUAAGAGAGCCACGGACCACAGCACUAAUUUUCAGUUCUGGGAAGAUGGUGUGCACAGGAGCCAAGAGUGAAGAACAGUCCAGACUAGCAGCAAGAAAAUAUGCCAGAGUUGUACAGAAAUUGGGCUUCCCAGCUAAGUUUUUGGAUUUCAAGAUUCAAAAUAUGGUGGGGAGCUGUGAUGUGAAGUUCCCUAUAAGGUUGGAAGGCCUUGUGCUAACCCACCAACAGUUUAGUAGUUAUGAGCCAGAGUUAUUUCCUGGUUUAAUCUACAGAAUGAUCAAACCCAGAAUCGUUCUUCUCAUUUUUGUUUCUGGAAAAGUUGUAUUAACAGGUGCUAAAGUCAGAGCAGAAAUUUAUGAAGCAUUUGAGAACAUCUACCCCAUUCUAAAGGGAUUCAGGAAGACAACAUAAUGACUGCCCUGUGCCCUGCCUCUACCACCCAUGUGUUCUGAACAAAUGAUGUCUCACUGUCUCCCUGGGUAGAGUGCCCUAGUGUCAUCACUGCUCACAGCAACUUCAAACUCCUGGGCUCUAGUGAUGUCUUGCCUCAGAGCUGGGACUAUAGGCACCUGCCACAACGCCCUGCUAGUUUUUCUGUUUCUAGUAGAGACUGGGUCUUAACACGUACUUGCGCUGGUCUCUAACUUUUGAACUCAAGCAAUCCACCUACCUCAGCCUUCCAGACUGCUGGGAUUAUAGUUGUCAUUUUAAACACAGUUGCCAAGUUGGUGUUGACUCAGAAUCCCUCUUUUGGUACAACCUGUUCCGAGUGAAAGACCUGGUGAUCUUGGACCGUCUCCAGAGGCACGGAACACGCACGUAGCGGCGGGCUGGGCGCUCCCAGAGCCUGCGUAGCGAUGUCCCCAUCACAGCUUCUACCACAAAGACCCUAACGUAUUUGCCUUAAAGGGCCUUACUGGGCAGAACGCACACGUACUGACUACAAGAAGUUUUUACUCACACCUUGUAACGUCAAGGCCCCGUGUCCUGCUGUCGGUCUGCACGUGCUGCGGGGUGUUCUGACCAAACGGCGGCAACCCGGGACCCAGCUGCCCAGGGUCAGAGCAGGAGAGCGCCCUGGGGGAGUUACUGCAUUCCCUGCUGGGGGGGCUGUGCAACCAGGGGUCCUCAAACUUUUUAAACAGGGGGCCAGUUCACUGUCCCUCAGACUGUUGGAGGGCCGAACUAUAGUUUAAAAAAAAAAAACUAUGAACAAAUUCCUAUGCACACUGCACAUAUCUUAUUUUGAAGUAAAAAAAAAAAAAAAAAUGGGAACAAAUACAA